ensembl:lncRNA
GUUAACUGUUACUCAAUUGCAGAUGUUUUUCUUUACCAGUAGCAUGAGGGAAAAUCGUGCAGAAAUGUAAAUUCCUACUUCAAGGCUGUGGAGCCUGGAGCCUCCCUUGCCUAGUUCUUUCUCCCCAGUUUCUGAGAGCAAGACCUUGUCCCUCCGGGUGUCCCUCAGGGUGUGGAUUCAGUUACCCAAUGAGCUGUCUGGUCCUCCACCACAUGUUCUCUGAAGCCCCUCACUGCUGGGCCUGCCUCGCGUGGGGGCAGAUGUGACCUUAGUGUGCCCACCAGGAGUGAGGAGAGGGAAGACGCCUCCCUUGCGUGGUGGAACAGGCGUUGAAGAAAGGAGACUUGCAGAUGAUCUUUCUCUUUUCACGUGUGGGACCUCAGGUCCAGAAACACUGAUACCAGUGACCAUGGACUGCAACUGCUGACACCAUGAGCCAAAGCGAACCUUUCCUCCUGGAGCCCGCCCGUCAUGUGCAGGGGAGGCCCAGGAGCUCGGUGCUGAACAUGCUCAGGAGGCUGGACAGGAUCAGGUUCAGAGGCCCCAAGAGAGAGGACUGCCUGGACCUGGCAGAGUCGCCCAAUGCCUCGGACACUGAGUGCGCUGACGAGCUGCCCCUGAAGACACCUCGGACCUCGCCCGAGACGGCCAGGAGCUCAGGGACCCUGCAGGUCCAGGGACCCUCAUCAUGGCCACUGGGGCGCCAGACUUCAUCCGCACAGAGUCUGAUCGCCUGAACGAGAUCAAGGGUCACCUGGAAAUCGCCUUACUGGAGAAGCACUUCCUGCAGGAGGAGCUCCGGAAGCUCCGGGAGGAAACCAACUCGGAGAUGCUGAGGCAAGAGCUGGACCGGGAGCGGCAGCGGCGGCUGGAGCUGGAACAGAAGAUGCAGGAGGUGCUGAAGGCCAGAGCCGAGGAGCAGACUGCGCAGGUCCAACAGCCGCUAAAGAGCCAGAGCCAGGCCGGCAAUGGAGCAGAACGCCGCAGCCAGGGCCUGUCCUCCCGAGCACAGAAGUGGUUCUAUGAGAGGUUCUGGGGAGUACCUGGAGGGAUUUCCGCUUUCAGCCCGAGGAGAACACCGUGGAGACCGAGGAACCCCUCAGUGCCCGCAGGUUAACGGAGAACAUGAGGCGGCUGAGUGACGGGGCCAAGCCUGUCACUAACUUCGUGAGGAACCUUUCUGCCUUAUCUGACUGGUACUCCGUCUACACCUCUGCCAUCGCCUUCACGGUGUACAUGAACGCCGCGUGUGGCACGGCUGGGCCAUCCCCAUGUUUCUGUUUCUAGCAAUUCUGAGGCUGUCCCUCAAUUACCUCAUCGCCAGGGGCUGGCGGAUACAGUGGAGCAUCGUGCCAGAAGUGUCUGAAGCUGUGGAACCUCCAAAGGAAGACCUGACCGUGUCCGAGAAGUUCCAGCUGGUGCUGGACGUCGCCCAGAAAGCCCAGAAUCUCUUUGGCAAGAUGGCAGACAUCCUGGAAAAGAUCAAGAACCUGUUCAUGUGGGUGCAGCCCGAGAUCACGCAGAAGCUGUACAUUGCACUGUGGGCUGCCUUCCUGGCCUCCUGCUUCUUCCCCUACCGCCUGGUGGGGCUCACCGUGGGGCUCUAUGCUGGCGUCAAGUUUUUCCUCAUCGAUUUCAUCUUCAAACGCUGCCCCCGGCUGCGAGGCCAAGUAUGACACGCCCUACAUCAUCUGGCGGAGCCUCCCCACGGACCCCCAGCUCAAGGAGCGUGCGGGUGCCACUGUGUCACGCAGGUUGCAGACAGCCGCGUCUAGGAGCUACGUCUCCAGUGCACCAGCCGGCUUGAGCAAGGAUGAGGAUGCUGGUCGCUUCCACAGUACCAAGAAGGGCAAUUUCCACGAAAUCUUCAACUUGACCGAAAAUGAGCGUCCACUGGCAGUGUGUGAGAACGGUUGGCGCUGCUGCCUGAUAAACCGAGACCGGAAGAUGCCCACGGACUACAUCAGGAAUGGGGUUCUGUAUGUGACAGAGAAUUACUUAUGCUUUGAAAGCUCCAAAUCCGGGUCCUCAAAGAGGAACAAGGUCAUCAAGCUGGUAGACAUCACAGACAUCCAGAAGUACAAGGUCCUGUCUGUCCUCCGGGCUCAGGCAUGGGGAUUGCUGUAUCGACGCCAUCAACCCAGAAAGUAAGUGGCAGGCGGGUGGCUGUGACUGGUCCAGGUGGGUCGGGGGGCUCAGCUCUUGCCAUGCCUGGGCCUGGCCAUGGCUUCAGCCCGGGCAGGGAGCUGCAGACUGCUACAUCCGGUCUGCAUCCAGCGAUCACAGCCCUUGGGCGGUAGAGUCCCAGGACAGAUGAAUACUCAGGAAGGGGGGCGGCAAGCCUGGAGCCCAGGUUCCCCACUUCUUACCUCGGUUUCUCUGAGCCUUCUGGGUAGGACCCUGCACAGCUGCUUGGUGCUCAGCUUGGGGUCACCAUCUUGGUCCCAACCUUGCAGUGGGCAGUGCUCACAGGCAGCGUUUCCCCCAGCCGCUGGUGUUCGAGGCGCCAUGGUGCACAGAGACGAGGCCUUCGAGACCAUUUUCAGCCAAUAUGUGAAGAUCACGUCUGCAUCAGCCUCGGGUGGGAAAGCUAGUACUGAGCCCUGGGUGCCACUGGAAUCUUUUUAACAGUCGGUGUGGGACAGAGUGGACAGCCUCAUGACCCUUUGCAAUAAUUCCCUGACCUAUGGUUUCUGUUGCGUGGCUGGAUUCACACACAGAGGCUGGGGCUCAGGAGGAGGUGCCACUGCCCCCUGGCAGGCGCGUGUGGCACCUUAGUGGGGACGCGGCUGGGCGGAGGGGGCCGCAGGGCUCAUUGAGAGGAUGACACGCAGGACUUCACUGACCGGGCCUACCAAGCACAGCUCCUUGUUCUCCAUCCCGCCUGGGUAGAGACUGACACCGGCCACCCCAGGAGGCUCUCGUGACCCCUCGUUCCCUGCUUUGCAGAGGCCAGGAGCUGCCCCACCAAAGCCAUAGCUGAGUGCCUCCAUGGUCCUCUCCUGCUGGGGUCAGGGAAGGAGUGGAAUCGGGGCCCCUGUACCAGCUGCCCAGAAAAGGCCAGCAGGUCUCCCUCAACCUUCAGCACUUGUCCUUAAAGCUCCAGGCCCUGGGCCUGGGGACAGGGUUGUCUUCCGUGGGAGCAGUGAGGCUGGGCAUAUUUGGAGGCACUUCCCUCUCACCUGCUAUGGUAGAUGAAGCCUGGAGGCUUGAGGUUGACUGGGAAGGGUACAGAAUGCCAUGUGGGUAAAAGCACAUCUCUAACACUGCUCCUCCGAGAGGCCCUGGAGGACGUCAGGAAGGCUGUGGGGUGCUCUGAGCUGUGGCUGCUCUCAGGUGAAAAUCAACAGUCUGGCCGGCACUGGGCCCUCUGGCUGCAACCACCCAGGUAGGCGUGGUUGAGGAUGGCCUGGGCUUUGUGGCCCACAGAGGCCCAGGCUGCAGAUGCCCUGCCUGUGGGGCCAUCAGGAGCUCCUGGGAGGACCCUCUGCUGUAGGGGUGGCUGUGAGCAGAUUCCAGUGUGGGGCCAGGGCCACCCUGCAUCCCUGACAGCUGACAGUACUCCCCCACCCCCGGGGGUGCCCAGCAGUGCCAGGCUGGGCACAAACCACCCUCAGCCUGCCCCGCCCUGGGGCUGCGCACACUUGCAGGGUGAACUCUGGCUCCGUAGAGGAAGCCGGAGAGUGUGUCUCCCACGCUUGGUUUACCCUGGGGCCGUGCGCCCACAGAUGGAUUUGAACUGCAAAGAAGCCGACAUUGAGUCCUGGGACAGGCUUGGCCUCCCAAGGCCGCACCACAUGUGGUCUGUAUGCUUUCUGAGCAGUCUCUCCAGUUCUUCAGCUUGUCCUGGGUCUUUCGAGGUGUCUCUGAGAUUGUUUUUGAAGAAACAGAUUAUAUUUUUUACAGAGAGCAAGCUGUUUUUCUUAUUUUUGUAUCAUUUUUCAAAUGGAAUUUUUACCUUUGCUCUGAAUCCUCGUUGGCUGGCUUGGGAGUGGACGCAGUGGUGUGGGCUGGUGACCCCUUCCUGGAGGCUGCAGGGUUGCCCGUGGUGUGGGGACGCGGCACAAACAGCCAGGUCAGGCACACAGGCCACACCAGGCUCCACAGAUGGUACCACCACACCCUUGUUGUUGAAGGCAGAGCCCCCCUGGCAUGGCUCACCUGGCAGCAGACCCAGCUCUCAAGUGCAUGGGGUUAGGUGGGGCCCAGGAGGACCCCAAGGGGAGGUGGAGGGGGCCUGACCUGUUCUGGGUGCAGGUGUAUGGGUGAUGUCCAUGGGUGAUGGUCAGACCUGUCCCCUGGCCCUGGCAGUGCCAGGGCGGGUGCUGGGAACGUGCUAUCAGUGAGCACUUCCUGUGGACACACUGGGAUGCUGUCCAAAGCACCAUGGGGAGGGGCUGGGCGGACAGGGCUUCUUCAAAGACCGUGUGGUUUAGUUUGAGUCCCUUUCUCGGAGAAGGGCGAUGAAGACUGGCCAUGGCCUGCUGGAUGCAGCGCCCAGUGUGUGGGGGAGGCCAGUGUCACCCCAAGUUGCACAGCUAGGAAGUAGCAGGUUCUUCAGUGGACCCCGGGGGCUGGGCUGGGCUAGGACAGGGGCCUGUGCAGGCCCUGGUCUCGUCAGAGACCACAGUUCUGUGGAAGUGUACAUCUGGGCUAUAUUUAAUUUCUAUGACUAAUCACUGAACUAGAACGUUAAAUUUUGAAUGUCUGAAGCUUGAGUCUAUUUUGGAUCUGUACAUAAUUGUUACCAGUGUAACUUUUGUUCAACAAAAGGAUUGUACUGUAUGAAGAAUCGAUGAAAAAACUUGUCACAUUUUUUUAAGAGAAAAACCUUGUUUAAAGAAAAAGUCUUGUAUAAAUUAUAAUUUUUAUUUAAAUAAACCCUAAAACGCUUUGUGCUAAAGCUCAGGCCCUCUGCUUUCUUGGCAGGGUGUGGGCUGCUGGAGCAGGCUGGGCAGCUCCCAGGCCCCGCAGGACCCCAGGGGCAACGAGGACGUGGAGCCACCUGGAGCCUCUUUGAGCCUCGAUGGGUUAAGGUUGAGGGGGAGGCAGGUGCUGGGCCGCAGUGGAGGCCAGAUGGUGAGGGGCACUGGCAGAAGGGCAAGGCUGGCACUGGAGUGGGGUGUGAGGUCAGUUCGGAGGCCAGCCAGGGCCAUGGGCCUGGGACAGGGGCCACAGCCCCAGGCAGUCGUGGUGCCCUGCUUACCUGCCUCUUGCAGGUCACUAGGCAGAGGGUUGCUGAUUGCACCAGCAGUUUGGUUGAUAAGACACACUGGGCAGAGGGACGCAGGAACACAUCUGGUUUCUAAAUCCACUGGGAUCAAGCAUGGGCCUGUGUGGGGUACACUGAUAGUACCUGGCUUCUAUGUGCCACCCUCUGUGAACCCCUAAGAGGCAGAGACCUGACCCCUAGGAAGAGAGUUGGAGCCAGGUGGAAACCUCAGAGGUAUAGCCAGAUGAGUUUGGACAUUUGUACACUCUACUGAAUCUAGUCAUCUUCCAUUGAUCAUCUCUGCAUCCAUCUAUACACCUGUGCAUCGUCUAUCAUCCACCUAUCAAUCCAUGCAUCCAUCCACCCGUCUCCCUGUCCACUCAUCCACUCAUCCUUCUAACCAUCCACCCAUCCAUCUAUCCACCCAGCCAUAGCAGGUACUGUCCUGCUGGCCAGAAUAGAAGCAGAGAAGGGACAAAGGUUGCUGGGAACCUGGUAAACUUACCCUUAGCCCCUCUUGGCUCAUAGUCCCACUGUGCCCACACUGGCUCGCCACCUCUCCUCCGCCCCUUGGGGCAUGCCUUCUCCCUGCUCACUCAGCCCAGUUGUCUACACAACCGCCGGGCAACACAGCCGGACCCAGGCCCAGUACUGCCUGGCCCUGCACCUGGUUCCCAAGGCUGAAACAGGGCAGAGUGGAAAGGCACAACAUGGCUCUUUGGCAGGUGCUGCUACAGCAGGCUGUGGAGGAGGCAGCCUAGUUUGCACACCCCUGACCCCACAGGGUUGUGCUGGCUGGAGGCUAGCCAUGCCUGAAAGUGGCGUGCUACACUGGGUGGCUUCCUUCAGACAGAGGCCAGUGUACCACUUGCCCUGGGGAAUUUAACCUCAGAAAAAAGCAGCCGCAGCCUCAGACUUUAAAAUGGUGGCAACCUGCGAGGGACAGACGGGAGUUCGGGUGACAGAAAGUGUACAUGACAUCUUUGUUUACUUUGCUCUCAUUCUUUAAACUGUCCAUGUGUGUUUUCAUGAACAAUAUUAUGCUUUGAAAAUAACAUGAAUUGGUAAAAAGAAAGAAAAACGCCAAAUUCUGCCCAAAGUAACUUUAUUUUUGUCUUCUCAAACGUAUCAGAGCAAAUACAUCAUUUUCUAAUCUUGAAACCAGCAAGAUUAAGACACCAAGCCCUGCUCUCCCCAGCGUGUCGGUACUGGAGCCGGUGUUCAGCACCGCUCACUGCCUCACUGCAGAGUCUGCACACUGACUGCCCGCCAAGCGACCCUGCUCUACCCCAAGUCAGUGCUUGUGACUUCCUCUAAACCCCUACGCACGGGGUUGCAGUUGCCACCCCCGAGGCCUCAGGCAGACCCCAGCUGACAGUUCAGGAAUGUCAGCCCAAGCUCCCAUCCUCGGGCUCUGCCUCAGACCUCACCAGGAGCCCAAAACAAUUCAGAUAGUAACUUGGGAUUUUGAAUGUCACCUCCAGCUCCAAAGUGUCUUCCCCCUGGGUCCUUUUUGUCUGAGGUUGCCAGGGAUUCUGGGAGGGCCCAAGGGUAGCAGGAGCCAGGCUGUCACCCCAGGCAGGACUCCAGGAGCAUUGUGCCCUGAGUGUGCUCCAGACCUGCUGGGCCACUGGCACAGAGGUCACAGGCAGCCCCUUUCUCUCAGAGAACCGCCAGCCUGACACUCAGUUUCUUCCCAAGCAGGGACAAACAUGAACGGAAAAGGUUGGGGUGUUUACUCUUUCUCCCAAGAUUUUUCACUCAACCAUCAAUUCUUUUUUUUUGGAACCAGGGGAUCGAACUCAGAACCUUGUGCUUGCAAGGCAGGCAGCAGCACCACUGAGCUACAUCCCCGGCCCUCAACCAUCAAUUCUUAAACCAUCCGACAUAGUAUUACCUCUGAAAACGUGGUCCACUUAAAAGCCACCUUGAAAGCUGCCUUUUUGUCUGGGUAGGACUGAAUGAUGAAAACAGGAAACUUUAUAUAUGCUUUUAAGAUAUAAAUGUGAUGCAAGAAAUUCUAAAAAUAGCUGCUGUUUGUCAAGUGCUACAGUGACUAAGGGACCCUGUGUGGGCUCUCAACCUACAGUGAUCUGUGUAAGGCCCUACUUGGUGACAGCCACUGCGGCACAGGUCAAGCUUAAGCUGCACACUCUUGUAUUUCAAAUAAAACUGUUUUACAUAUGUAUUAUCAGACAUGCAAUCUGAAAACAGAGUAAAGAUGGCCACCCAGCUGAGGACCACCUCCCACUGCAGGAUGCCUGCCAGGAGGCCCUGGUCACUACCCAGGCCGAGCAGGAAGCAACUGUCUCCUGGGGCCCAGAGACAAAGCAAUAACACCAUUUCAGAUUGAUGAGGAUAAAACUUCCAAUAAAUAAAUAGAAGUCAAAACUCAGGGCAGGGGAUUUAGCUCAGUGGUUCCGGCGCCUGCCU